AAGUCGUAACAAGGUCUCCGUAGGUGAACCUGCGGAGGGAUCAUUACCGAGCGAGAGCCCUCGCGGCUCGACCUCCAACCCUUUGUCGUCCGACUCUGUUGCCUCGGGGGCGACCCGGCCUUCGGGCGUCGGGGCCCCCGGUGGACCCCUCAACUCUGCAUGCCCUGCGUCUGAGUGAUAGAUACAAAUCAAUCAAAACUUUCAACAACGGAUCUCUUGGUUCUG
rnacentral:misc_RNA from 2 species